rnacentral:rRNA from 1 species
AGGGUUCGAUUCUGGCUCAGGAUGAACGCUAGCUACAGGCUUAACACAUGCAAGUCGAGGGGCAGCAUUAAGUUAGCUUGCUAACUAGAUGGCGACCGGCGCACGGGUGAGUAACGCGUAUCCAACCUUCCCCUUACUCAGGGAUAGCCCGGUGAAAACCGGAUUAACACCUGAUAGUUUCACUAGAUGGCAUCUGACGGUGAAUAAAGGUUUACGGUAAGGGAUGGGGAUGCGUCUGAUUAGCUUGUUGGUGGGGUAACGGCCCACCAAGGCGACGAUCGGUAGCCGGUCUGAGAGGAUGAACGGCCACAUUGGGACUGAGACACGGCCCAGACUCCUACGGGAGGCAGCAGUGGGGAAUAUUGGUCAAUGGGCGUAAGCCUGAACCAGCCAAGUAGCGUGCAGGAAUGACGGCCCUACGGGUUGUAAACUGCUUUUAUGCGGGGAUAAAGUGCGGCACGUGUGCCGCUUUGCAGGUACCGCAUGAAUAAGGACCGGCUAAUUCCGUGCCAGCAGCCGC